AACACUAUAUCGAGGCCCCAAAAACUACUUGGACACCCCAUAUGUGAAAACCAUUCUUUUUUAUCAGGCCUGACUGAUAGUGUUUUCCUCCUCUGGAAGCGGAAAGGCAUUUGCAACAUAGGUGAUUUAUAUAUUAACGGCAUUUUUGCCUCAUUUCCACAACUUGUAGCUAAGUAUGACAUUCCUAAAUCUGGCCUUUUUCAAUUCUUUCAAAUUCGAAAUUAUGUCAGGACGUAUUUACCCAACUUUGAAACCCUGGUGGAGCAUGAGGCCCUUGAGGCAAUAAAUAAAUUUGACCCUGCCGCUAAAGGGGCUGUUUCGUUCUUUUACUGGAUCCUGCACAACAAUACUCCAUUGAACACAGUGAGUCUUAGACAAGCAUGGACGGAUGAGCUAAAUACAGAACUGGGAGAUGAUGUAUGGGAUGAAUGUUUAAAAAGUAUACAUGAUUGCUGUGUGAAUGUCAGGCAUUGCCUUAUACAGUUUAAGACAUUACAUAGGCUCUAUUACUCUAGAGAAAAACUGCACAGUUUCUUUCCUGAUGUUUCACCCAUUUGGAACAGAUGUAAGUCUAUGACUGGUAAUCUGGCACAUUCUUUUUGGUUAUGCAGUAGACUGUAUACAUACUGGAAAAGUAUUUUUCAUUGCUUUUCUAUGGCUUAUGGGAAAUGUUGGGAUCCUGAUCCACUUGUAGCCAUUCUUGGGGCAACUACCCCUUUGUCUUCCGCCAAUAAAUAUGAGAAAAAGGCAAUCAUAUUUGGUACUGUGAUUGCGAAGAAGCUAAUCCUCCGGACAUGGAGGUCAGACACUGCACCCACGUACGAUCUGUGGUUGAGAGAAAUGGCAAAUAUGCUUCACCUGGAAAGACUGAGACUUUAUAAUGAAGACAAGGGAGACAUGUUUGAUAAGAUUUGGGACCCGAUACUGCAACUGUUUCAAGGAAAGGACUACUGUGCCGAUCACUGUGAAACACCAUACUUGUCACACCGCGGUGAGGGUCGUCUUGUCUUGGGUUUUCUGUCUUGUGAAUUUCAUGUUUUAUUUUGA
rnacentral:lncRNA from 1 species